AGCGAACGCUGGCGGCAGGCCUAACACAUGCAAGUCGAACGAACCCUUCGGGGUUAGUGGCGGACGGGUGAGUAACACGUGGGAACGUGCCUUUAGGUUCGGAAUAACUCAGGGAAACUUGUGCUAAUACCGAAUGUGCCCUUCGGGGGAAAGAUUUAUCGCCUUUAGAGCGGCCCGCGUCUGAUUCGCUAGUUGGUGAGGUACUGGCUCACCAAGACUACGAUCAGUAGCUGGUCUGAGAGGAUGACCAGCCACAUUGGGACUGAGUACACGGCCCAAACUCCUACGGGAGGCAGCAGUGGGGAAUCUUGCGCAAUGGGCGAAAGCCUGACGCAGCCAUGCCGCAUGGAUGAUGAAGGUCUUAGGAUUGUAAAAUCCUUUCACCGGUGAAGAUAAUGACUGUAGCCGGAGAAGAAGCCCCGGCUAACUUCGUGCCAGCCGCCGCCGUAAAAC
rnacentral:rRNA from 1 species